rnacentral:misc_RNA from 1 species
GUUAGAAUACUUCAAAAAAACUAUACUGCCAUUAUCGGAGAACAAGCGAAGCUGGAGUGUUCUAUAUCUGCUACUCCUUUGAUUACAACAGUUUCAUGGCAACGUAUUUCACCUGAGAAGCAAACCGUAACAAUGGAUAUUGACGAGAUAAAAUAUACAGGAUCAAAACCGAAUUAUCCACACUUAGUAAUCGAAGACAUCAGGAAAGAUGACGAAGGCAGCUAUUUAUGUACCGUAUCAAAUAGGUAUGGGGAAAGGAGGAGUAUACCUACUAAGCUGAAAGUAAAAGGUCCUCCAACGCUGAAUAUGAAGCCAAAAACACAUCAUCAAACUGAGGGAUACCCUGUUAUUUUAAAAUGCAAUGUCAUUGCGGAACCACCAGCAACCAAUAUCACAUGGAUCAAAGAAGAAGAAGGACGUGAACGUGAAAUCGCAAUUGACAAUGAUAAAUACCACGGCGGUGUGCUACAAUCUCCUUCGCUGAUAAUAGAUGAAACGGAAAAAAUGUAUGACGAUGGGAAAUAUAUUUGUGAAGCAGAAAACCAUGCAGGACAAGGAAGGAAUUCCGUGCACUUGAUAAUACAUAGUAAAAGUGCAAAUACUGAAACAGUCGAAACCACUCAUAAGGAAGGCAUUAAAGAACGUAUUUCAUUGAGGCAUUCACGAAUGGUGAACGCUUUAUCUAAACGUAUUUUCCCAAAAGCAAAUCAUUGGGCAGACUUUAUACAAUUAGUAAGCGUGUAUGUGCCAACUUCAGAACUUGGAAAUGACCUACAAGACAACGUAUAUUAUCUCAAACGAAUGGGCCAUAUUUCUUGCGGCCACUACAAGAAGUUAUUCGACGUUGUUAAAGAAAUAGAUAAAGAAGCCUCGCUCAUCAUAAAGGAGGCAGAAGCUGAUAUAAAAACAAUUAGAAAGGGAGGUAUGCCAAAAGAAACGACUACCGAACUGGAAUGCACGUUUGAGGGUAGUUACAAUCCAAACUUACCCCAAAAGUGUACCAGUCAAAUCACAGAGCAGUACAGAGAAGCCAACAGCAGAAUUACAGGGGUCGGGAGGAAAGGAUCAAUAGUUCUAAAGUUUACAAUCAGCGAAGCGCAGACUCCACACCAAUCGUCUGCUUUGUACCUGGCGGUGACGCUUAGGACGAGACUACAAAACAGGCAGAUCGUACUUAAGGAUGAGUCAGACGUACCUCUAGUAUUGAAGACUACACCAAAAGUAACGAUACCAACGGAGAAUCCGAAAGAUGUACCAACAAUACGUUUAAGUAGAGGACACUACCAAUUUACUGAAGGAAAAGUGGCCAUUUUGAAAUGUGUUGUGGUCGCCACAGCGGAAACCGAAUCUAUCCAGUGGGUCAGGGUAAAGGAUGGCAAAUCUAACGUUAUCUGUAUUGACAACGAAAAGUAUUUUGGCGGGUUACCACAAUCUCCAUCACUUGCUAUCGGUGAUGUAAAGAAAAGUGACAGAGGAAUAUAUUUCUGUAAGGCAAGGAAUAGAGCAGGUGAAGCGGAAAGUGACACAGCCUUUGUCGAAAUCAAUAGUAUUGAUGAUUUGGGCGAUAUCAGUACCCGGAAGGAGGAGGCCAGUACUGUGAUGGAGGAUGCCGGUACUGUGAUGGAGGAUGCCGGUACUGUGAUGGAGGAUGCCGGUACUGUGAUGGAGGAUGCCGGUACUGUGAUGGAGGAUGCCGGUACUGUGAUGAAGGAUGCCGGUUCUAUGAAGGAAGACAAUGGAAAACAAUUUCAGAACAGAGAUUUAACGAACGGUAGAUAUGAGAAAAGGCCAAGUACUUUUCGUCAUGAUUAUCUCAUAAUGGGAUAUGAAAUAGGUGCGAUGUAAAAACAAGUACAAAAGUCUGAAGGAACAAUUGGUCCGUUCGUGAAGUACGAAGGUAGUUUGUCUUUUCCGACAUGCGCUCAUGUGCUGUUUGAUUUCUUUCGACAAUCUCUAUGUCGUGCAGCGCCAUAACAGUGCUUCCGUUCAAAGUGAGGGCAAUUUUUGACCCAAGUUUGAAUCCCAGCAUUGAUGUUGCCGAUGUAACUAUAUCUGACCCAGCUAGGAUACCGAAAAGAGGAAGAUUUGCCAUUGAUCACAGUUACAAGUUAAGAGAAUCAGGUAUGCAAACCUACGAUAUAUACGUGUUGCUUUAUUGAAUUUGUAAUCACUCAGAUCGUUCUUCACUUUUUAAUUAUUGAUGUAAUUGUUAUCCCGCACGCGAUUUGCAGUUGCAGGUGAUUUAGUGAUGUAAAUGUACGGGCUACAACCUCGAAGGCUUGGAAAUGCAACGCUUUGUUUACGAUAAACUCAAACUUUAAGGUUAAAUGUUUAAUGAUAUAUUAUGGGCGGUAAUGAUACUCAGCAGUAGGCGGCACCAGCAUGUAAAUAAAAUAUGACUCAUUGAAUAUCAAAUCCCAUUCAAGCUAAAAAUAUUGUUUUGCUUUCACAAACGAGUAUCACACUCAAUAUCAAUAUAUAAGCAUUUUUCGAAAAUCUUGGUCAUCUUUCUCGUGACCUCAUUUAUGAAAGAACAUUGAGUUGAAAAAAGAUUAUAUGCGAUAGGCAACAAUUAGAACACCGCAAACAAAAAUGUUAGGUUUCAGGGUGUUACGGCAAAAGUCAACGCCACCAUAUCUGUUUACAGAAAAUGUGUUUUGUAACUCUAAUAACUUCAUUUUAAAUUGUUUUUGAUGAUAAAUUUGUAAUGAAUAAUAGAGUAUGUUUUGAGAAAUGUGAUACGGCUGUAUCUUUUGUUAAUGCGGAGUCCGGCCGAUUUGAUGCCAUGUGAACACAUGUGUAAAGGUUUUGUCUUUCUUCAUAACACAUUUCGUUGCAUCGGGCAUUGUAGACAUCCAACAAUACGUUAAGUAAUGCUUUCUUAAUUUGAAAAACAAAAUGUAAGUUUUCAACAAAUAGAAGCAAGCGUGUGAGGCUAAUGCCGGAUGGGCAAUUUACGAAAGCCGCCGUUGAGGAGUUAAUGCGCAGGAUGCAGUUGCAGCGAUACAUCUCAUCUAAUCCCGUUGUUUUGUGUUGACAAGACAAUCAUGUUUCUGGUUGAUUCAUAUAUUAUACGUACAGCGAUAUUUUCCUUGUUAUAGUAGGUUUUGAUGAGCUACCAGAAUAUAACACUUGUUUGAUAGCCACGAAUACUCCAGAGAUCGAUGACUCUACAGUUUUCAUAUUCGGAAGCGAAAGCCACCUGACAAGGGGUAUGCUGGUGGUUGAUGGUUUAAAAACGCGGCCUCUGUCUUGUGUUUUGAAACAUACUGUAACGAAGUGGGUAAUUCUCACCAUUGUUGGUGACAUUUGUUACAUGUCAUACACUGUUACUCUACCUAAUGGGAGAUCGCUUGUUAUUGUUUAUAUGUUGAUCAGCUGAUCACUAUUAUACAAUUAUGGACUUUUGUGCUG